rnacentral:lncRNA from 1 species
ACAUACCAAAAAUAUUUAGGAAAAUGUGAAGUAUUCCAUAUUUAAUGAAGCGUUCAAUCAUUUAUUUCUGAAAAUAGGUUGUGAUGUUGUAGUUGAGAAAUGAUUAUAAGCAUUAAUGCUACCAAACACAUUUGAAGCUUCUCGGCAGUUCCGACAGUUGAACUGUCGAACUCGACAUUUCAAAACUGUCGGGAUCGACAUUUUAACUGUCGUAUCCGACAUUUAUAAAUUGCCGGGAUAGAUAACUAAACUGUCGAAUUGGAAAGCUGAAAAUUCUGGACACUCUUCAUUUGACCUUGUAUUAUUGUAUAGGUUUAAAUAUUUGAACGUGUCACUUCCAUGCUAUUAUAUAAUUGACAUAUUGAUUGCGUAUAAUUCUUAUCGUUGCAAUCCCAACAUCUCAGGUAUGAACAAUAAUUUGAGAUUCAUCGUAUCACACGGGGGAAGUUCGUUUACGUAAAUGACGAAUGGAAGUGGAUUGGGGACAAAACCACUUCCAUUUUAGUGCCGAGUAGUAUUAUACUAGCGGGGCUAUUG